UACGUAGGUGGCGAGCGUUGUCCGGAUUUACUGGGCGUAAAGAGCGCGCAGGCGGUCGAUCAAGUCGGAUGUGAAAGCCCCCGGCUCAACUGGGGAGGGUCAUUCGAUACUGGUCGACUCGAAGGCAGGAGAGGGAAGCGGAAUUCCCGGUGUAGUGGUGAAAUGCGUAGAUAUCUGGAGGAACACCGGUGGCGAAGGCGGCAUCCUGGACCGGCAUUGACGCUGAGGAGCGAAAGCCAGGGGAGCAAACGGG
rnacentral:rRNA from 1 species